rnacentral:lncRNA from 1 species
UUUUUUUUUUUGUGCCUUUUCUUCUCUUAGUUAAGCUUGUUGUAGUUGUAAUAUCUUUUUUCCCCUUCUGUAUAUAUACUCAUCUUUCAACAAACCAGUUCUGUCAAUGUCCUUCUGUACAAAAUCAACUUUUGUAGCAUCUGUUAAUCCCCCCACCCUACUCCUAGAUUGUGCUUCCUAUUCAAGUAGACAGCAACUUUCUGCUUUAUUGAAGGAAAAAAGAUUCAGAAACCUAUAUUUGGGAUACAACUAUAAUCUGUUUCAUUUCGUUUAUUUUUUCAAGAAUCAUGUUUCAUUUUGUUUAGUUAAUUUUAUAUAAGUUUAGACUUUGGCAGCAUUCAUAUAUAGGCAAAUAUCCCCUACAACUGUAGUGAAUUGCACCAACAACUGCUUGGGGUUCAUAGAAUUGCAAGAAGGUAUGAUGCUUGGCCCAUGUGGUGUCCUUCACCAGUACUCUCUUGGCACCACUCUUUUCUAAGCUUAACCUAGUAAGUUUCCUUCCAACUAAAUGAUUAUAAUUUGUAAUGGACAAAGAAACAUCUAUCAUUAGAUGAUCUUGAGAUGGCAAUUUAGCCGACAUCCUUUCUUAUUUGAAGCCAUGACUAAAAAUUUGAAAGGCUAACAAGAUCAAUGAACGAAUCCACAAACUUAUUAAAUGUGUUUCCUUAUAACAUCAUACGAAAGUAAUACAAUUAUCUUCAAUUGUUAAAACAAGAUUGCAUUGCCUCUGCUCUUCAUCAUACAAUGCUUGCUCAUUCAAGCAAUUUAUUUAAAUUGAGCAAUUUUCACAUACAUCUUUUUCUUUUUAAUAAAUCGACAGCCUAACGGGAGGAUGCUCUCAUUCCUGUGAGAUCAUUACAAAGUAUCCUUCAUGUCUCAUUAACCACUAGAACGGUAGUAAGGUACAUAACAUAAUAAUAAUAAUAAUUAGGUUAAUGAUGGAAAGAGAUAAAAAAACAAAGAAUAAAUACAAUAACAAAUCAAACCGUCGUACCAGAUUAGGCAACAAGAUAGCGUAAUUAAAAAGACUAAUGACGCGGACCGGCAGUGGGAAAAGCAUUGCAUAAAGAGAUCCGUUUGGCUCCUCCGCGGCGUACUUUACACCUCGACCGUGAAACCUCUUGUCUCUCGCUCUCUCUCUCUCUUCCACUUUCUUUCUCUUUCUCGAAGGCAUCGCCUCCUCCCCUGUCCACAGCGCCGACUACUGCUCUUCUCUCUCUCUCUUCUCCGAGUCCGAUGUUUCUCCAAGACGGCUGCAUGUCGGGGACCCCGGCAAUGGCUCUCCAUUCGUACCCCUCCCAAAGAGACGUUACUUAUAGGUGUCUUUUCUUUCUUUCUCUUCUCUCUCUUCUUCUCCGUAUUCUUUUUUUCUUUAAUUUUUCCUUCUUUUCUAUCAAGAAGAAGAGAAUCUUGAAGUGAUUUCUCUGAAGGUAUUGAAAUUUGUUUGAAAGAUUGGAGCUUGGCCAGUGAAUGAUGAGCUCGAUUGCUCCUUCUGCUAGAUUAAGACAGCCGCUGUCUUUGCUCUCUGUCCUUUCCUUUUGAAAGCUGAAACAGAGGAUUGAGCGGUUCGAUUCGGGGAGAUUAAGGCAAGCUUCCCCAAAUUUGAAGUAUUGAGCUAAGCCGGGCUUAAAUUCUGACCCUUUGGAAACCUGAGAGGUUAAAGGAAAAGAAAUUUUCUUUCUGUAUCUGGUAAUUUAGUCGUAAAGAUUUGUUUACAUAACCUUAAUCAUGAUCUUUCGAUCUCAAACCCCCAAAAUAAAACCUUUUUCUUCUCAUCUCAAGCCUGGCUAGCUGAUGAUCAAUUGCUCCUUUUCUUGGCGACAAAAAGGAAAAUUUACUUCUCUUGUAUUCUUCUUCUCCUUUUUAAGCUUUUUUUGAGGAAAAAAAAACGAUUUUGGUGUUUCAAUCUUCAUUUGCUCGGCCGAGCUUCCCCAAAUAUAAGCUGGGCUCAGUUUCUAAUCCUUGGAAACAGUAGAUUUUAGAUUUUAGAGCUAGGCGCAGUUGCUAGCUUUCUUUUACGAGGAAGUAAUUCGCGAAUUUUUCUGUAUCGGUAAUUUGGACGGUAAUUCCUAGUUUCAUGUAAGCUCAGUCAUGAUCUUUUAGCUUAGCAGGCAAAUCUUUUGAUCCACUCUCAGAAAAUUCUUGCAGCUGUGGUCACUGUGGGUAUGCCUUGAAUCUAAGCUCAUCAAAUCGGAACACCACCAACAUCGGAUUAAAGUACGGGAAAGCAAUCAAGAAAGGAGUUGUGUCCUUCUUCUCAAUAGACGAGAGUCGGUUCUCUCAAACAGAUGAAUUGAGGUGUCUACCUUACUUCAAUUCGAAGAACUCAUGGGGUCUCUUCAGGCAUAGGACCAGACUCCUCUGCCGCAAGUGUGGGAGCUAUAUUGGUAGUGCUUAUGAAGAGAAUUCCCCUCCAAUUGGGUCGGAAAAUUCAGACUCGAGCUCUGCAAAUGGGGCAUCUGCUUGCAAGAAGUACAGUAUCAAGAUCAGUGCACUGCAGCCAUGGUCAGAUGACUCAGGUAUUCCCCUUUUCACAUGAUGGAAAUGAACAAAUAAUGAAGGGCCUUUAAUGCUGGUUUGUCUCUUGGCUUAAGGGUUACAUAUAAGAGGAAAGAAUGGAAGGUGGGAAGAUGUCGGGCAUGUUUGUUAUUGUUUUGUUGACCUCAGAUGUACAAAGGUGUUUUGGUUAUCGAUGGGUCGUCUGUGAAGGCAUAUGAUAGAUGUGCUUUCUUUUGCAAUUUUGUUGUGUGCAUAUGAUGGAAUUGGAAAUAAGAUUUUGUGUGUUGUCAUGCUUAUUUUUGUUAUCUGUCUUCUUUGCGGAAAAUGGUAGUUUAAAUGUAUUAUAGUCCAUCCUUUUCUAAAUAUCAGUAUUCGUUAAUUUGUUGCUGCAUGUUCCCAUGUGUGUGUGUGUGUGUGUGUGUAUUCAGCUUUAUGAAUUUAAUAGUUGCUGUUAGAAUGUUCGAUGAGAGAGCACGGUGAUGAAUGAUGAUAGAUAUUUUUUAGGGCAGCAUUCUUUGCUCAAAAAUUUAUUUACAAUAAUGUGAUGAACAACUGACAACUUGAUAGAGGGGCAGUCAUGCAGUAUGAAUCAUGGGAAGGCAAUGUAUUUUCUGUCUAGCUAGAAGGUACAGGGUUGUUCCUUUCUUGAUUUCUGUUACUUUUUUUUUAAGUUUGUGCUGUUUCUGAUUUGUUCUAUUCUACCUCACAUUGGUCGAUACAUUAUAGAGACGCUUUUUAUUUCUAUUCUGUCGUCAAUAUUACUGGUUAGAAUGUAAAGGUGCAUCCGACUGACAAUAAUUGCAUUUGUGUGGAUGCAUGUUGGUUUACUGUUAUAGGAAGACAUUCUGAUUCUUACAUUCUAGUUCUGUUUGGCUGGCCACAGAUUCAAUUUGCCACUAUAUUUUUCACUUCUUAAACCAUUUAACUUUGUCUCAUCAACUCAAUUUUUUUGGGUGACAGUUCUUCUUGCUUCUAAUAGAAAUUAAGAAGUUAGCAAUAUCCUUCAUUUUCAUGAGUUACUCAAAUCAACAUGACACAUUGCUUGGGAGUGAGCAUUUUUGCUUUUAAGAUUCUGAAUUUGGACCUUGUAGACCAGUAAUUGAAUUUCUUAUACGAACAUCUCUCAACGAGGGGGUUUACUUUCCUCCAAUUUGUGCUUAUAAAUUCCUAGAGUGCAUGUUUGUCCUUUGGGGCUGCCUUGAUUGAAUUUUGAGCUCAUCACGAAAACAUGGCAACUGUAUGUAAAGUUCAUUUAUUCUAUUAUUUUCUCUGCUUCCGUCUUGAAUAACUAGUAACAAGAGCAACCUAUAACAUGCGUAGAUGUUUAAUUGGUUUAUAAAGACAAUGCUUUACAGCUCAGCCAAGAUAAAAUUGGCAAAUCUGAGUCUCUUGUACUCUCUUUUAUUCUUUAUAAAUUGGUUUAUUGUCUCUGAAAUUUGAAAUCUCAUAUGGAGGUUUCUUAAAUUGAUCUGAUUGUUCACUAUCUUUCGCCGUUUAAGUUCUAUCCCACAUGGUCAUAAAGUCAUUUUAGUUCUAAAACCACUGUGUUAUUGUUAGCACAAUUGAUGGACUUAUUUUUAUCACCUGUAUAUCUAUAUAGCUUAUCUCCUGACUUUCUUUUGACCAAGACUUCUAAUUAAACAACUACACAAAAAAUUUUUACACUAUUCCCUACAUCACUAUAUCUGUGACAGAUAAUCUGUCUAUCACAAGUGCUUCCAAAUCUUAAUAUUUAUGCAUCCAACAUGAUAUGAAUCCAUACUUCACCCUCUGUGGAUUGUUUUUAGUGAUCCCACCUUCGGAAAAUCUAACAAAUUUCUCAUUCAUGAUUUUGGGAAAUUCAAACUCUUUAUUUAUUUGAAAAUAAAAUAUCAUAUGUCAAGCAUGGAAAAUGUUUUAGCCACUAUUUGGACAGAGAAUUCCCUAAUUUUCUGUUACACUGCUUUCCAGUCUUCAUCUGUGCUUCAAUUCUUUAACACAAACAAAUAACAAUGAGAUUCAUCACUGAAUUAGCAGCAGAAGCAGAAAGCUGUAUGAACAGCAGGAAGUGUUAUAACCAUCCUAUCUUUAUUUUAGUUGAUGCGCAAAUUAAAUAACAGUAUAAAUCCUAAGUAACAAAAACCAAAGAAAAGCAUUUACCAAGACACAUUCUGCAAUAGCCAACCCAGACUACCAGUCAUUCCGAAAUGAGUUGAAGAACGCAGAAACUCCAAACGAGGCUCGCAGCGGAAGCACAAGCAAAGCCUCCUGAUGCUGUACAUUACUCUUUGACAACACCAGAGGCGUCAGCUGAAUCUCUUCUAGGGCCCAAUGAAGACCCUCUGAAGGACCAGCAGCACUCUUCGUCUGUCAAGGUGCAGCAGCUGGGACUGAGGAUCCGAAGAUAUCCAGUCAGAGUGCCUGAUCAACCUGGUACACUGCAAGCUGGUCAUCGGAGUGUAUAUGGUGUUGGACAUUCCAGUGUAUACAAUCCCAGUUGAUAUGUUCACCUUGUUCCCCAUGGUCGUCGCAUCCGAUGGGUACUGGCCAUUGUUGGCAUUGCUUGCCUGUGUUCUGAUCAGGCAGCUUGCCUGUUUGGAUCUGGUUCACUGUGAUAGGGAAAGGGAUUUAAAGUUGGUCAGUGAGGGAUUCAAAAUUGGUGAAAGCUGUGUGUGUUGGAGUUAGCAAGUUGGCUGUUGAUCUGAUCACUGACUUGAGUGCUGUUGGAUAGUUGUAUCAUUGUCCCACUGCCCGAGUUUCACGAGGAUAACUGUGAUAUUUUGUCAGACUUGCUGGGGCUGGAGUUGAUGCCGGCUGCCCCUUGGUCAGAGUAGUGCAUUUGAGGACAGGCACAACCUCUCCAUGCCUGAUGCUUGGCUUCUCUUUACUUCUCUUGGGUUUUUCGAGUGGAAGACAUGGUUCUUGUCUUGAUUCCUUCUAUCCUCUUUCCUCCUUCCACGCCCUUUUGUUCCACCUCUCUCACUCAGAUUCCAGACUUUUCUGUUUGCCAUUUUUCAUGAUAUUGCUUUUUAUGAUCAAUAUCCAAGCAAAGAUAUCAAAGCUUGCUGGUUAGGUAGGAAUUACUGAUUCUUCCAGUUUUAUAUGAAAUUUUCAGUCGAUGAAAACAGGGCAAACCGAUUCCAAAUUUGAAGGAAGAAGUGCAAGAGAAGUGAAAUUUGUAACUCAUGGCUGAGCAGAAUAUAGAGGUACUUAUGGCAGAACAGCUUGUUCUGGUCUUUCGAACUGCUAUGAAACGACUUAUUAGCAGAUUAAUAGAUCAUUUCGGAAUCCAAACCAGAAAAUAUUUUUCUAUUACGAGAUAGACAAUGGAAGAGUUAUGGACGGCCGUUCAACCUUUUUUUAUGGCGGCUCAAGAGGCGCUGCCGCGGGUGCCCCAUUUGAAAUGGUAGCAAACCAAUCUGCUAUACUUAUACAAAGAUGCACACUGGGAGACUAACAAAUGCUACAAUGAAUAGCUUCGUGACAAGUUGUUCUAUCAUAAAUGCUGCAAUACAACUAAAUCGCCAAUCCCGCCAUCUUGCUUUUUCCGAGUCAUACAUUAUUUGACUCAAUAAGGAGAGAUGGAUGUCCAGUUACACUGUUUGCUUAUAAACCAAUUAACCAAAUGAGGCUUCUAAACUUUACAGAGAUAAAACACGUAUACAGUGCUUGAAGGUUCAAUUUUUAUAGAAACACGAUGUGCCAAUUGAUGCAGUGAUCACAACGUAUGUUUGAAGAGAGUAUGCAAUUCAACUUUCUAAUACUUCAGCAAUAUCCACGUAAUGCUUGUGAACCAUUUUUCUGUAAUCUGCAAGGUCAACAAAAGCAUUGCAUUUAGGGUCAAUGCAUCAAAGGCCCUAGGAAGCAAGUGCCAAAAUGUGUGUUGAAAUUGCUCAUAAUCCAUGAAGCUCAAGGAGUAUAUAGUGCAAACUGGUAAGUUUGGAAUCAAUCUAUAGGUUAUAAAAUUCCGUCGCAAGCAUCAAAGCUUGAGAACUAUCACGAGGUAAGCUGCCAACGGUUACAAACUCAGAAUUCGGGUCAAGGUCCAAGGCAAGGAAGAUUUUUAAAAGAUGGAACUAUCAGGGGAAUACUUAGCCAAAUCAGCCAAAUUAAAAUCAACUUUGGUCAAAAUGACUCUCCACUCCAGGAGACUAUAGAAGGUAACCAAAUACUAAAUAUGUUAAAGAGGAUAAAGAUCCUCAAUGUCCGAUAGCAACUUCUCCUGGACCAAACACAAUGACAGACCUCCAUUGCAGUUUACUUGUAUUAGAAAUAACACUACACUAGAAGAUGGAUAAAAUGAACAGUUGAAAAUAAUAAAGACAGAAAAUUACACCUUCUUGGCUGCUCCACAGUGUCGCAGCAUAGCUAUUGAGAGGACUUUCAUUAUUGGGUUCUGCAUCAAAUAAGUCAAAAUUAGUUUGAGAUGCAACUACUUGCAUGAAACUUGCAAUCCAUAACAUGGCACAGAAAAAGCCAACUGACCUCCUAACAAGCUCUGAAUGGACAACAAGAUUGUUCUGCAAUCAUACGCUGAAGACCACAUAUCCUAGGGAAGAAUCCAGAGAUUGCACAGCAGAUGACUGGAUCAGUUCUAAUAUAGUAAAUAAAAUUCAACAGCUAUUGCCUACCCUUUAAUUUGAUCAGGCUGCAAAUUACCUGCAGAAUGUCUAAACAAAUGUUGCCACAAUGAUCGAUGUUUGGAUGGAAGCAUGGGGUCUCAAACUUAACCAGGGGAGGCUUAAAAGGGUAGUCAAAUGGAAAGCGCAACGAAAGCUUGUAAGAUAAACCUUCAUAUGGAGUUCCUUUACUUCCUUCAAUAGUACCAAUCCAAGAGAAGAUGUUUUCGCCUUCAGGAAAGGCUGAUACUCCUACAUCUCCACUCAUCUGUUAUAUACAGGGAGAUAAGAAAGAAAGAAAAGAGAUCCAAUAAUCCAACUGUCAAGGAAAGGAGCUACGCAUAUUAAAUGAUUUGCAAAUGCAUUAGUAAGCAGUUCUGUAUGCAUUGACACAAGAUUUUCUUGUUCAAAAUAAUUACCCAAACAACAGUCAGUUGCUACUGCAUAACCUAAUUUACAAGGUACCACUGCAUGGGAUGCGAGAUAACGAGAGGAAACACUAACCAUGAUCGACAAAUAUCUUUUUUUUGAUAUAGGUCAACAAAUAUCUUUACAUCUACCUGGGAUCAGCUUUAUACACAAUCCGUCAUCUGGUCCUAAUUAAGGGAAUAUCCCCUACCUAGGUCACUUCACCACUUCCAUCCAUGUCUUAACCACCUCCAACACCCUCAAACAAAAAGCCCUCUUAACAUUUCUAACACAUUUUAUUUUGGGAAGACUGCUAACAGUAAAAUUGGACAACAGAUAAUUCAUCUCACAUGUGUAGUACCCUUGGUCACUCAUCUACUACAGUACAAGGAGACAACUAUAUAUGUGAAAAUUAUUUUCUAUCUCCAUCUAUUUCACAGCCACUAAAUAAUCCGGAGACUUCUUGACCUCAACUCUGCACAUGCUUGAUUGUCCAAAAGUCUAAUCUGUCCAAAAUAUGUCUUCCAUGGAAGUAAGGUUUGGGAGGAAGGUUCCUUCUCCUUACAGCUCAUCCAUGUCUAGGCUAAACCAGAAAUUGGACAGAAUGACCAGAUGAAAUUAAGUAGCAUAUGUCAUUUCAUAAGUAUAUGGAGAUUCUAUAGCUUCAUCUGCAGAUUUAGCUUAUGCUUUAUGAUACAAAAUGUUGCGCAGUUAGAAAACAACAUGUGCACAAGAUGUGUGUAGCUGUAAUAAGAAUGUUGAAAUGGAUGUAUGGUAACAUAAAAUACAUAGAAUAAAAAGUGCAGUCAUUCAUAAAAAGAUGAAGGUAGCAUCAAUUGAGGAUAAAUUGAGAAAAGAUAACUUUGAUGGUUUGCAUAUGUACAAUAUAAACUUAUGGAUACAUCAGUACAAUGGACCUCACUCAAAAAAGCUAGUCGAAAUGUAUUAUUUAGGUUCUUUGGCUCUGUAUAAGUACUCAAAAUCUAUCCAGUGCGUAGCAAAUGUGGGACUAAACACACACCCACACAGGUCCUCACAUACUCUCCUUAUUUAUGCCAUGGCAUCCUUGCCAGGCUAAGGGUUCAAAUCCAUUCAAUCUAAUCAAAAGCACCACGAUCGGCCCGUGGUCAGUCCCAAUAGAUCCGUGUUGCAGUGUCCUCCAGUCCACAUAGGCCAUAGGCUGAGUUUGCUUUGAUACCAUUUCCAACAACCCAAGAUCUCACCCAAAAGUCUAGCUAGAAGAUAUUAUUUGGGUUCUUUAGAGUUGUAUAAGUAUCCAAGAUCUAUCCGGUGGCUGUGGGACUAAACACAUGUCCGCGCAGGUCCUCGCGAAUAUAUAUAGAAAGAAAAAGGAACAGACAAAGACCGAAAUCACAUGGAUGAAAUAGUAAGGACUUGUAUCGCCUCAAAAAUGUGGCUCUAAACAAAGUGGAAUGAGGAAAAGGAUUCAUGUAGCUGACCCCAACUAAUUUGGGAUUAAGGCAAAAUUGAGCUGAGUUGAGUCGUGAAGAUUCUGCAAAUUAUGUACUACUCUUUUGCAAUUUUUUCCAAUCCAUCAUAUCAGCAUUGUUUUUUGAUGAUUGCUCUGGACAGACUGAAAACAUCAACUGCAUAAAGGUUAUAUAAUUUCUUUCUUGCAACAUAUGGUUGGCACAGCAGGCUAAGAAAAAUCUUCCCAAGGGGAGAUGCAAUUUUACGUUCAAGCCUUCAAGAAGAGUAGUUCAUGCCUGAAGCUAUUGAUUGGCUAGUCUCGUAUACCUAGUUUCAGGUUCACAAUCACCUAAAUUUUAUACCGGGUGAUGCAGUAGCAUGUUAUCCAAAGCUUCAACUUCACUCUGUCAGAGGAUACUACUGGAGGGAACUGAAUAUUAAGCUCUUUAAACCUGUCAAGGGGAAGUUUACCAAAAGCUGCUACCUGCUCAGUAAAAGGUUGUCGGCAAUGCAACUAGUGUGCAAAAUGAACAAAGAUUAGAAUAUGAAUGUUUCCAAGGGUAGACAGGAAUUCAACACUUAAAGAAUCCAAAAUAAUUCCUUUACAUAGCCAGGGGUCCUAAUAAAAACUUAAUUUAGUAGGCUUCUAACUCCCACCACAAAUUUGAUGCGCUUCUCUGCAUUUAAAUUUUGAGGAUAGAUUUAAGAGGAAAGAAUCAGCAUACAAGACUAAAUCCAAAAACUUUUAUCACCUACAUAACUCUCCUUGUCUGAUUGUAUCCAAGAGGGAUUUUUUACAGAAAGAAUACCUCAGAUGAGCUCACAAUAAGUAGCUCUCUUCCAUUAAUAUUUUAAAGAUUCAACCCAUCUUUGUUCUAUGUUUGCAAACAGUAGACAAAUAAAUUAAAUUUAAAUCAUGCUCUCCACUCAAUCUUUUGACAGACUAGUCCUAAAACGACUUUUCAAUUUCUUUGAUGAUAGCAGAAGAUGGGACUUUGAAGCAAUCCAACCAACAGAUUAGAGAACAGAUUAACUCCAAAAACGCUUCUCCCUGUCAAGGUAUGUCGCCAUGGUUUCCUUUCAACGGAUUUAGGAUGUCUUUAACUAUCGUUCAGUUCUUCCUCCAAGGAACAACAACCUCUAAUCAAAUUCAGGCUUUAGAACCUCUUGAUUCAAAAUUUCACUGAAGAAGCUUCAGAAUUUCUAAUAGAUCUAUGGUCUCCAGUACUACAGGUCAUAAGAAAAUAAACAUGGAUAGUGAUUAUACACUUUCCAUCUUAAUUGGAUUAGUAAGUCCCUUCAUCGGAAUAGACUUCCAAAAGACGAGAUAGACCUUAAAUCACUAGUGUGAAGGAGACACUGGUGUCUCCUUGUCCAAGGCCACAAUGUUGAAGGUGAAGCAUGCAACUUAUCCAUUUGUCAUGAAAUGAUAUCUCAUUGAGCAUUACUAUCAAAAAUUCUCAGGGAAUAACGGCAUAGGCUUUACGAAACAAUCUUGAAGCAGGACUCAGUUAUGCUACCAUAGAUCUGAAACUACUUGAUGGUUAAUAAGCAAGUAAAAUAUCACCCAAGACACUCUCUUGUUGAAGGCAGAUCAACUUAUGGGUUCCAUACGCACUGUCAUAAACAAAAUACCAUGCAAAAGAUAGUUCUGAUAUCAGCACCAGCAGAUCUUAGAAUGAGAGCUCGGAAGGUUUGAAUCUGUUUCUUGAACAGUUACCAAAAUUAAAAUUAGUUAAUGCCCCAAAUUAAAAUGAUAGAUAAUGCCUAAGUCACAAAUAUAAAUGGCGUAUUAAUGACUGCCUGACAAGUAUCAUAUUUAACAAUAUACCAAUCAUUUUUGUAGAGACUGUAAUUGUAGUGGAUCUAUCAGGGAUAGAGACUUUGUCAGGACCAGCAGCAUAUGUACUAGAUACGCUGUCACAUAAUAAUGUAUAUAUAGUUUUAUAGCCAUAUUAUACCUCUUUCAUUCUAAGCAUUCUAUGAAUAUAGAUAUAAGCCAUGGAAUGGUGUUGAUUCAGAAAUGUUUAGAAGAGAUCUCUGAAACAAUCCUUAAUUUCCUUCUGGUUAGAACUCUGAACUCUUAUUUCUGCUACUCUCUUCUAGAUGCUAUUUCUGUCUAAUCUAAGCAGCAUUAACGAAUGCAACACUGAUCCAAAGAACUCUAGACUUGAUCUUGUUUGUUCGACUAUAGCAACUUGCAAAUGAAACUAGUUGUUGCAUAAAGAGCUCUUCCUUUUGAACUAGAGGAUCUGAUAUCAGACAAUUUUGACAUCUGCUCAGCUUCUCUUACGAGUUCCUCUCUUUCAAAUUACUGACCUGAUCGCUCAGCAGUUUAAAUGUUUUGCCCUUUUCUUAUCACUCUAAACAUAGGAGUACCUUUGGCUCAAUAUCCAAGCAUGAGAAACUACAGCAAGAAAAUCUUCUUCUUCAGUCUGUUGGAGCAAAUCGGACUAGGCGUAGGGAAGAGGGAUAUACACAACAUAGGAAACAAGUGGUGAAAUCUGAAAUUUAUUUCAUGACUUGAACAUACAAAAUUGGGCCCAAGUAUAAUACUAUUUAUAGGCUCCAAUGGAUCCUUUUAGCUUAUACACUAUUGAUUACGGCUCUUCAAGUUUCCAACUCUUCAUCUACUAGAUACUUCAUUCAAUACAAAAUCUUCAUCUACCAAGUAUCUAAUACAACUCUGCGCUACCAAAGGACUUUUCAGCUGCUAUAACCGUUGACUAGGACAUUUGACUAGAAGACUUUUAUUUUUUCAUGUAGGAUGGCACAUAGAACUACCCAUGCAGACCAUCAAGCUUAAUUUCCAACACAGGCCACUCAUUAAAGCAUUUAAAGGAUUCAGCCACUACUAAUGAUGACAUCAGAGCCAACUAGAAUAGCAGUAUGAACAAAUAUCUCCACAAGAAAAGAGAUCUUGAAGCUUAGCGAACAGCAUUGCCCAAGCAAUUGGUUAAAGUUUUCACUAAAGCUUAAAGAAGUACUCACCUUUGCCUACCAAGUGUUUGAAACUUGUCAGUUUGGGUUCUAAAUCCAUGUAUUGUGUGAGCAAUCACUUUCAGGUGUUCUAAUAUCUUUCCACUCUACCGGUCUGCCUGAAUUGGAUAUUACAUGUAAGUUUGGUUCCAAGAAACAUGUGCUGUUGAUCUUAUUUUACAAACAACCAUUUGGAUGUUCAUAAAAGAGGCAUCCAAGUGCAUGAGGCCCCCACCAUUGUAAUGUCUAGAAACGAUUAGAUGCAUGCAACCUAACCCUGCAUGCAAUGAGGCUAUUUCUAUAUUUCGAACCUAUGACACCUAGAUUAUAAUGGAGCAAUCUUACCAUAUUGCCAAGGCUAGCCUUCAUUUGGUGUUCCUAAAAAUUUGCAAAAUUUUGUAUAAGUACCUGACAUAAUCCUUAAUAAGGACAUAAUCUGGAAAUCACAAAUGUUGAGUUUUAGAUAAGUGGAAGGCAUCAAUUAUGUGACACAAAUAACUUCUGCUUUUUGUUCAGGUGAACCUAAAUAACAUGUCAACCAAUUAUCUAUAUUCAGGUUGUCAAAUUGCAGAAGCAAACCUGAGUACCUUUUCUUCAGAAUAACAUCAAUGUUAAGCACUUUCUUUGAUUUGCAGAAACUGACAUAUGGACUUCAGUCUCGUCUUUUGCUUCCUUAUAGUUUCCAUUGUUUGUUCUCAUAGUAUUGUACCACCAAAAAGAUAAAAAGUCAAAUAUGGAUUGUAAAUAAAACAAUAUCAUUUUUCACUUCACCUCCGUGCUAUGGACUUAACUAAAUUCCAAAAGGCUAACCUAUCAAUCAUACAAAAUAAGAAACUAACCUCAAUUCUAUCAUCAGGAAGGUCUCUCCAAAAUAAAAGAUGCAUCCCUCCUAGUAAACCCGAGCCUCUAAAUUAAGUGGAAAACUAAAGAACUAAAGGAAAAGGGUGGUGGUGGUAAUCUCUUCACAUCAAAAAUUAAGACAAAAUCUCAUUGCGAUCCUUCCCAUCUUCAGCCCAAUCUCCCAUAAGCAAUAUUUUACAAAAUCCCUAAAACUAAUAACUCUAUAAUUCAGUCAUUUUUAUUCUGAGCUCAUAUAUUGAUUUCUGAGCAUUGUGAAUACAAGGUUGAUCCUACUUUUAUCCUCUCUCUCCACCCAAUGUAAAUUCUCAUGAAAGCACCGCACAUAUAAUUCACAUUUAGACUAAAGAACCAGACAGGAUGAUCAAACUGAAGUUGGUCAGAGUACCAGGAUUUCAUCACAAUAAUGAACAUGUACCAUAACUGACCAUCCUAGAAGCAUCAGUGCUUGUGAUAAAAUCAACCUGUCACCUUUUGUUACAUGAUCUGCUAAAAGAUCAAUCAUCUGACUUUAAAUAUAAGAGAUUGGAAACCCUUAACAAAAACCUUUACUAGUACUAGUGAAAACUGAAGAAAAUAUUUGUGAGCAUUGAGAAUUAACAAUUAUAAAUUCAUUACAUAAAUUUCACUGCCCAUUCUCUCUAGUUUUUGCUGAUACCUAAUUUGGACAUACCACGAAAUUCUUAGUUCAGUUUUCAAAAGUUUCUUUGAGGUUGAUUAUGUUGAUUUUAUGCUUAAAAACAAGCUAGCCUUUAUUUUUCAUUGUAAAGCAUUUUUGUAACCGCAUGCCUUAAAAAAUUAUCACCGAUAUUACCUUUAACACAAGCAAUGUGAUCCCUAAAAGUAAAAUUUCCAACUUACAACUUUUUUGUCCAAAUGCUAUAUGUUUCACUUAACAUGCUUUCUGGCCUAGCAUACCCUUGGUUAUUCACCUCACCAUUAUGAACAAGAUCAAAGAACAUAGCUUUAAGAGCCCUUGAAAUAGAUGAUAUGAAAAGAACACUUGAAACUCCAUCACCAGAUAGUCCAAAAGAAUAUGUCAAAACUUUUGAAUAGCAUGUAAUCAAGUCUAUAUGCUUCAUUUUAUUUUAUUUUAAUCAAGCAUAGCAAGCCAAGCCAUGAGACUGGAGCUAGACAAAGUGCCAUGAGGUGACUAACAAACAAUAAAUAAUAAAUCAAGUAAAGGAUCUUAUCAAAAGGUUGUAGUUCUUGAUGCUUGUACAAUAGCAAGGCUGUUAGUGUUGGAACAUUACAAGGUGCCAAGUUGUCAAAAUCCCAUAAUAAAGCGAAUCUAAAAAUACGGAUUAUAUAUUAAAGAAAAACUUUUAGCAAAGUUAUGUUGAAUGCUUAUGUUGAAUGUUUUUCAGCAUAUAUUUUAUAAAGCAAAAUUAAAAGCAAAGUUUCCAUGAAAAAUCACACAUGAUUAAUGAGGCAUCUAUCCUUGAUUAUGUCAAAGUUAAAGACACAAUUAACCUGGAAAAGGAGCAUGUCCUACCGAGGCAAUUGAUCCAUCAUAACAUAAAUACAACUGAUCCCUGAUUCAAGGUCAUUUAUGCCUCAUUACUACGACCCAAAAUUUCUGAAAUAUAUUUCCCAAUCAAGUAGUGUAUGGGAAGCAAUCCUAUAACCAAGUAGAAUCCUCCAACAAUCAGAAAGUCUUCAACAUGCCUAACAUACAGGUCAAGUAGAACAAUCCAGGGAGCGAAUAUAAUUUAACAACAAUCAACCUUUAAUAGGUCAAGCAUAUAGUUGUCCAGCUUAAGUUACAAGAGACACUCAAUCCAUUGUGCAGAACACCAGAACGCAUAAAAAGAAACUGAAAACAUACGGAUUUUUUUUUUUUAUUAAAAAAAAUGGAAUCUUCUCUCCAGCAGAUUAGCCUGAGUCUGAAACUUUCCAAUUAAUUCCCGUCAUGCUGUGAUCCACCUUAUUACAAGACAAUUACUCCUAUCAAAAUAUAAGAACCCUGUGGACCUCAAAUUGCAAAUACACCAGUAAAUGCCAUCCCAUCUUCUAGUCCAAACAAGAGAGGACAGGCAGAGAGGGGGAAAAAAAUCUGAUUUUCCCCAACUUGCAGUGCUGUCAUUCUCAAACUCAUAUCAAACAAGAAAUCCAUUCCCCGCCAGAGAAUGCGAUUACAGUCAAGAAAUCAAAGCCUAAGAAAAAUUCCACAAAAUUUAUCAAAGAAACACAAUAUCUUCCCAAUAUCUACGUUGCUCACCAAAGAAAGGGAUCCAAAACCACCAAGAUUCUCGAUUUUCGAUUCAACGACAUAAAAAGAAAGAAAUAAGAGAAAAGAGGGAUGUGCAAGAAGCCAAACGCACCAUGAGAGACAUCAAUUCCUUGUGGAGCCUGCAAGAAAGAAGAAGUCCAAUGAGAGAUCGAAUCAAAACCAAAGAAAGCGAGAGAGAAGAGAUCCAACAAGCGAGAAAGAUCGGCGACAGGAGGCGCGAUCCGAACCUCUGGGACACCGAAGUGGUGUCGACGGGAUUGGGCGGCAGCUUGGGCUGCUUCGAAGACCGUGCCGGCGAGGACGGCGCCGCGGAGGCGUUGUCCACGUUCCGGACCUCCAUCCCUUCCAAUCCCCUUCCCCACUCGAUUCGAUAUCUCGCGACCGCUCUCUUCCUUCCGUUCUUUUCUCUCUCCAAGCCUUAUGGGACCAUUUGAUGAAGAAUUUUAAUAAGCGAAAAGAGGGGAAUUAGAAAGAGACGCGUCUCGAUAGCUGAGAGAAACCAAGCCCGGCAGGUAGCUGCAGGCCUGGUGGAUCGCACGUUACAACUGCUGUUAAUUCUUAUCCUGCCUGGGUGGCGGCGGCGGCGGCGGCGGCGGUCGGCUGGUCUCAAGAAAAAAAAAAAAAGCCGCGAUUUUUCUUUUUGCUAUUUAUUUAUAUACACCUUUUAGAAUUAAAAUGGAAGAAAGCAAAUCAUAACAACUAAAAAAUCUUCUUCAAACAUGUCAAUUAUUUGGCUUUCACCCUUUCAGUUCAUUAUGUGAAUAGGGGUGCGUACGUACCAUGUAAACUUUUAGAAUUUGUGUGUUUCGACGUGUACAUUUAGAAGAAUUUAAAUUUGCACAAUCCAGCAUCUUUACUAUAGCAAUUUUCUCUCAUAAUACAUAAACUAGAUAAAAAAUAAUUUUUUGCAAAAAAAAAAUGAAAGACCUUGCAUGCUAGUUCACGAUUAAUAGCUUAAUAUAAAAAUUCUAGAUAGAACUGCACUACAUAUAUUGCUAACUAUCAUAAUAAUAUAAAGAUUAUAUAUCAAUCAAGUAACUUUAUGAUCAGAUUUUGGUAUUCAUAGCUUUUGUCAUACACUUAAUCGAAUGAAAUGCUUAAAAAUAACCAUAUUAAUCAAUUGAAUAGAAUGUAUCUCAAUAUCUAUCUAUAUUGUAAAUAAACCUCUAUUCUUUCCGAUAUCCAUUGGUAUUCUAAAUAAAUUUUUAUUUUUUAUAUAGUUGGGCAAAUUUAGAUUCCUAUAAGGCACGAGCUUAGGUGCAACAAAAUAGCACCCACAUGGUUGAUUUUUUUUCUCCUGCGGUCCCAUCCCACAUGGAGUUUUUUUAUCAAACCUCAUGUGUGACUCAACCCUUCUUAUUUUUUGUACAUCGGUUUUUCCAAUCUUAGAACUCUUCGCUCCCACAUCUCCCUUCUUCUCCUUGGAUUUGCGGUUUGCUCAUCAAAGAGGAUGUUAUUCGUGAGUUUUGAUCUUGAUACACCUUCACAGCCAGAUUAGCUUGCACACUGAGAUGAAAUCGGUCGGGAUCUUUUUGCCUCGGUAAGACUCUCAAACAAAUCCACCUAAGAACUCGUGGAGGACCACGAAUGAAGUCAAGUACAAUGUGCUGACACUUUCAAUGGACUCGCUUUUUUUUUUUUGUCCAAUUGAAUCCCCAUCCGACAGCUACGCAAAGAUUAAAGAUUCAUGAUAAUCUUGACGUGGAUAACGUGUCAGUGUAACAGUCGUCUCCAACAAAUGAUCCUAAUCCUAUCCAGUGGACUUUGAGAGGAGACAAGUUAAUACAUGACCACGCGUCCAGACAUACUAUAAUUUUUUCCUGUUAAGUUAAUGGUGACGGGAUAAUCCAGUAGGGAGCAGAGAAUAGAAGAAGAUGGGCGGACGGACAGGAGACGUGUCUCUGGCCUUCCACGCUUCCCGGUCUCCGCAGCAAGCUAUUGGCUCAACAACGAGAACGCGAUAAACCGGGAGUUCCUCAGGCACAGAAAAAACCGCCGCCGUGUCUUCUUGGUUUCGCGGUGGCGCCGCCCCUUCCAUAGUUUUCUUGCCAAGCCUGAUCCAAUACUGGAGUAGGGGAAGCGGAAGAAAAAAAAAAGUUCGCUCCUUUACGCUUUGGAUUUAUGCGAGAGAGAUGACCGGAGAUGAGACCCCGGACUCAAUUCCAAACCCUAACCCUAACCACAAUCCCGAGUCGAAUCCUGAAAGUAAUCGCCAGGCGGUGGAACGGACGGCGGCGGGAGUCAAGAGAAAGAGAAAUCUUCCGGGAACCCCAGGCAAAGUUCCCUACCAAGCUCCCUUCUUGUCUCUCUCCCUCUUUCUCAGUUUCAAUCGAUGCGAGUCCUGUUCGAUUGAUCAAUAAAAAUUCAAUUUUUUUUUUUAAGAUCCGGAGGCGGAGGUGAUCGCGCUGUCGCCGGAGGCGCUUCUAUCGGCGAGCACCUUCGUGUGCGAGGUCUGCGGGAAGGAGUUCCGGCGGGACCAGAACCUCCAGAUCCACCGUCGGGGGCACAACCUGCCGUGGAACUUCCCCCAGAAGAAGGCGGCGGCGGCGACGGAGGCGGUCGGCGGGAAGGAGGCGGCGAGGAAGCGGGUGUACGUGUGCCCGGAGGAGACGUGCGUGUACCACGACCCGGCUCGGGCGCUCGGGGACCUUACCGGGAUCAAGAAGCACUACAGCCGGAAGCACGGGGAGAAGAAGUGGAAGUGCGACAAGUGCUCGAAGAAAUACGCCGUCCGGACCGACUGGAAGGCCCACAGUCGGAUCUGCGGCAACCGCGAGUACGAGUGCCUCUGCGGCACCCUCUUCUCUAGGUAUGCAUGGUUUUAUACUAAUCUCUCCCAUUCUCUCUCUCUCCCUCCCUUUUCCUCGUGGAUUUUGUAGAGCUGAGAAAGAAAUCAUUGGUGCAGGAAGGAUAGUUUUAUAAUUCACAGGGCGUCGUGCGAGGCGACGGCGGAGUCUCCGACGGCGGCGGCGACGGUCGAUCUUAGCUUCAAGGCGAACGCCGUGAAUAACGAAUUGUUGUUUCCGAGCUUAUGGGGACAGAGCUCGUCGCAGUCUACGGGAGUGAGGGAGGAGCAGAGGACAAGUGGAACAGGCACAUGAUCCGUCAUCUGUGACCAAAUAGAUCGAAAGGCAUAUCAAGAGUGUCAAGGAAAUCGACUUCAUGUUGUAUCUGGACGCAGAAUGUUUCCAGGCCUUUGUAAACUUCCACAAUAUUUGUCAGGAUUUGAUGUCUACUGAUUUUAGUUUGUACACCUUUUGCUUGUAAUCGAAUGGCAAAGCUGUGAUGAAUUAAACGGAGGUUCUCUCUAGACCGCAAGCCUUAAUCAUCUGCCUCAAUGUUAGCUUUAGGAAUCACAUUGAAUUGAUUUCAAAAAUUGACUCUUUUUUGUAUUUUUGUGUGUGUGUUCUCUCUUUCGAGGCGUGCAGCCAAACCAACUUCAACCCUCACGUUUUCCAUUUCAAUUCUCAACUAGGGACCAGCAUCAGUAAAAAAAUAAAAAUACCAAUUAAUCCAAGCAUAAGCAUUUACAGUUUGAGGAUAAGUAAUCAAGAAGUUUGACCAGUAGUAACAGCGUCAUCCUCUCUCGUUUCCUUAUUUCUCCGGCACCCAAACAAUGCUUAGAGAUUUCGUUACAAAAAUUUUUCCACGUUACUCGUGUAUUCGCAUAGUGCCGUAGUAAAUAGUUCCUGAGCAACGCAUAUCGGAUCUCAUCCCUAGCAUCAUGCAACAAGAACAAAAUCUGAAACGCCUGCAACAUAUUAACACGGAAGAAAUGCUUGUUUCAAAUCUGUAAACAUGUCAUGUCCACCAUUGGCGGGAGUAUGUACAAAUGAGGAGAGUGACUAGAUCUAUCUUAACCAUCAUAAUUAUGGAGAAACCAUUUAUUUUUACUUCAUAUUAUCUUCCAAGGCUGAGGCUUUGCAGAUCGGGCAGGCAUUCUUUAUCAGCAACCAUUGCUUUAUGCAGCUGGCAUGGAAAUCAUGUCCACAUUUUAGUCUCCCAAUGCUUUCCCCAUCUCGGUACUCUUCCUGUCAAUUCAAAAUGCAGACCCAUAAAACAAACACCUAGUUACGUUAUUGUAAUUUAGUCAACAGAAGAUUAGGCUUUUCUUUUUAAUCAAGUCAAUUAGACAUAAAUCUCAUGGACGUGGUUGAAGAAACAUUACCAGGCAAAUUGCACACUUCAAUUCUUCCUCGUCAUCCUGAUUCUGUUUGCAAGAAUAGUAUAUCGUCUCCAUCAAGCAUCUUGAGAUGGCAUCUGACGACAAGCCUGUGCUGACAUUUCCAAUUCUUUCUCCCAGUGCAAGCAGCUCCUGUGCCAACCCCAAUAACUUGACAUUGUUAGAUGAUCUGAUUGAAGGGAAAAUAAAAGGUAAUUUUCUUCAGGAAAAAAAAAAAUCCCGACCUCAUAGCUCAUGCUGUCGAUGUCCAGUCUCAUGUCACGGUGCUGAUCAAAGAAAUUCCUGGAAUCAUAGAAGUUUGACCGGUCCAUUAUAGCUACACCCUGCAUAAAUAAAUCAAGACGGAUAAGUCUUCUUUGGUGCAUGCUAAGUAGCAUUUUUUAUUUCUGGAAUAGCCAAAAGAAAGCUUGAUUUCAUCAACUAAUAACAUUAUCACCUCAGAGAUCCAUCUACUGCGAGUAUUGUCCUCAUCUGAGAAUGACUGGAAUCUAUCAUAGAAAUUCCUUGCCCUUCCAUUCCUCUCAUUAUUAUGCCCCAUAAUAGACGGUGGUCUUGGAUGUCUAGGAGGCAUCGCAGUUUCCACUCCUGGCCGCCUAUCAUCUUCCAAAGUGGCUGCAAAACCCACAGAUGGGUAGUUUGGAAUGGCCCUGUAAGUUCUUUGACUGUAACUACUGUGGGCCAGCCCUGCGCCUCGUGUUGGAGGACCCUGGAGACUUGGCAUGGUACUCGGACUUCUACUUGCAAUGAGAUUGGUGUGGUACCCACCAUCGAUCUCCAUAUUGUUAUCGGUGACACUGCUUCCCGCAAGGGACUGACUAAUCUCAUGAUUGAAGGAGCUAACUUCUGCAAUUUCCAGAACCAUGUCGGAAACAAAUUAAGCAGUCAACUUAAAAAUCCAAAACCAAAUAUACUAAUUAGACUAACCUGAAGAGAGAACCGUUCUUGGGGGAUCCAUAGAGACAGAAUUUUGGCUCCAAUGUCCUACCACACCCAAACCAGCAGUAUUCACUGUUGCUUGAAAAUGUUGAGGCAAGUUGUUAGAUGCAUGAACCCCAACUGGGAUGGUUUCCAUGUGACGGGCAUGAUUAUGUCGGCUCCUGACAUUCCUCCGGGGUCCUUCUCCAAAAGUCAAAAGAUUGCUGCUUCCAUAACUAGGGACUGUGCUAACGGGCUCCCAAGGCCAGCAAUGAGGACCUGAUAAAGGCUUUGGCUGUAAUUGCUCAUUCGACAUGGGAAGAUUGGAAGAACUACCAGCACUAUAAUAUCCACUGGUGUUCCCCCUGUCAGAAACUAUUGCGAGUGCUGGGAUUUUUCUUUUGUAUGAUGCUCUUCCAUAGUCCAUUUGAGGAUUAAUUGUGCUGCCUACAUCCCCAAUUGCAUGUUGGUUGUAGAAAGGAGGCCCAUGCUGAACAUAACUUGGUGGAAGCCGACUAGAGCUGGCAGCAGAUGGAGUAUGCAGGUAGGGAUCAUGUGAGGGUCCAACUGCCAUGUAAUUUGGAAUCUCUGAAGUAGGCAAUGGAGGGUCAUUUGAUCUAGGAAUCAUGUUAAAAUAAGCCACUGAAUUCACCCCAUUGACUGCUGCAUUCUCAGAAGGACGAACUAAAGAACCAUUUUCUGCAAAUCAAAUUUCAAAACGUGUCAUUCAAUAAAGUUUCCAAAAAUAUUUUAAUAACAUCCAGAAGCAUGAAAUUGACAGAAGUACCCAAGUUCAGGUGAGAAUCAGGGUGCGGAUGAUUCCAGAUUCGGUCAUGAUCCAUUUCAGACAUUUGAGAUUGAUUAACCAAGUGUCUAUGCCCCAUAGAAGAUGUUGCCUUGGAUCAGAACAGCAUAUGGAGUCUACAAAAAAUAUAUAUCAAAGAUCACCAUAUUCAGCAAUUGUAUUCAAGGUUGUGACAACACAUUCAACUGAAUUGCACCAUGCAUGCAAAAAAAUGAUAAGAGAAGAUAUCCCGGAUGUUUGAAGCAGCAUUUCAUGGAAAAUUGUUGUCAAUCAUAUCAAUAUAAAUAUGCAUUGCGAACAUCAAUUUAGAAGAACUAAUUCUUUCAUUGAAUGAGAGAAGAAUUAAUUCUUCACAACAAUAGACAACAAGAAUCACUGACAAACAAACAUUGCAGCAUGGCCUGCUAUAUCCCUGCCAGCCGAUAGCUGAUGUAGUGCAACUUUUGCCAGUGAUGAGGACAGAUGCACAACAACCCACAGAAGGCCAUGUAAAAUGGAUGAAGACAUGUUACAGAAACCUUUUCUUUUUGGCCAGACAAUUUAUGAUUGAUUAAGAUGACAUACAGGUAUAUCUUGAAUGAACAAUAAAUUCACUAUGUCAUCUUAAAUCAAAUGCAAUAUGCACACAUAAUCUGGAUACUAUAUUUUACAUUUACAUAUCCAAAUAUAUUUUUCCAUUAUUUUGAAAAUAUCAUCUGUAGAAAGGUUGAAACACAUCAAAAUAGAAAAAAUAAUAAAAAGAUCACAUAACAAGAUGACCAAUUCCAAUCAUGUAAAACCAGAUGGCUUUUUUACUCAUACAGAUCCUGGUACAAUUUGAGAUGAGCACUGAGGAGAAUGAGGCAAACCUCAUCUUUCAGCUUCCCAAGAAGAAUAUAAGUAGGGAAAAUUAAAUCAGCCAAUGUUUUGAUAACUAAAUGCCACACCAAGAAUAAAAAGGAGCAAAUUAACAUCCAAAAAUCCUUUUUAUCAACCACAUUUGCGAAUUCCUUCAUCCACAAGCACAUUCCAGUAACAAAUUGUAGAACUGGUUCAAUGCUACCUUCAAGGAUUAUCAAAACAUUAUUUGAUAUAAAUAUAUCUUUCUGAGUCCUUAACUUUUAUUUGGUACGAGCUUGAGAAUAAUACGAUCCAUGCAAUUACACCAUUUGGGUCAACCGUUUCAUAGGUUCUCCCCCAGUUUAUUAAUUGAACCAUAUCAUUUCUUGGUCAUGUGGUAAAGCUGAGUACCAUGCAAUAUACUGCCAAAAAUAAACUUUAACUUCCAGUAGAUUUGCAAAUUUUAUUUGAGCUUAGGUUCAACUUCCUUUAUUUUCAAAGAUAAUAACAAUGCUACAAAAGUGUCUUCUGAUCUUGUUUCAGUGCCUGCACCAAACACUCAAACACUGAGAUAAAAGUUCACAUAGAAAAAGGUUCAUGCCUAGCGAGCGCCCAACUUCACUUCUCACUAGUGACAAAAGUUAUCUCAGUCAGCUAUUAUCAUUUUUUUAAUUGACAACCUUUUUCUUGAUUUUAUCAUUGUAAUAUGAGAAAAAAGUUUUUAUUUUUUGAAUUUUUACAACUUGUAAGAAAAUUCAUGAUUUUUUUUGUGUUUAAAUUAUAUUGAUUUCUAAAGUUUACUAAAUUACUUGCUCAUAAAACUGUUCCUGGGAUUUGUUAAACUAUUUUUUCAAAUAUAUAUUUUCAUAAUUUUCUAACAACCCAGCCCACACCUAAAACCUUAUUUUUUUAAAAAAAAAGAUUACAAACUCUUGGUGUUCUAAAUCUUGAAUUCAUGACUAUGCUAAUCACCAUCUUGCUCAUAUUCUCGACCAAUGGUUUUGAAGAAAAUCUCAUGGUUUUUAGCUAAUAACUGUUGCUACCCAAACUUCAUUUAGGAGUGUAAAACCAGAAUGCCCAUGGUAGAAUCAAGUGCCUUAUGUAUGCUACACCCAUCUGGUGCUCUCCCAACAAGCAAUAUGCAAAAAGGGUGUCCACUCCACCAUGAAAUAGCAAAGUCCAAAUGCCCUUCAUAUUUAUUUUUUCCAUCUAUUUUCUAUCUAAUCUUACUAUAUUAUGGUACAUGAUAUGAAUUUUCACCAUAUAUGCCAAGCAUAUCUGAGUCUCUCCUUGCAGCCUAAGUAGCUAUUCCUUAGAAACGAGAAUAACAAGAAAUCAUAACAACAUCAAAAUGCUGAAGUUGCACAAAACCAUCAAAUUCCUUUUGCUUCUAUGCAGAUUUCAAAUCAAUAUUCAGAUUGCAAAUUUACAGGGAGUCAUAUCAUAAUAAGCAUUCAAGUAUAUAAGGAAAGAACUUUUAACAUGACAAAAAAAGGACCAUACUCCAACUCAUCUGCCUUUGUUCAAGAGAUAAUAAUGAAAACAAAUCCAGUCCAACUCUACUAUUACUUCUAACACAGUAACCUUAAAAUAAGACAGCAACUAAAACCUAAGAGGUUAGCUGCAGCAAAUGUGACCAAAAAGAUACAAUAGAAGCUAAUAAUUGGCUUUAUGCCUGUUAUCACCUUUCUACCAUAGAAGAUGUCUCACUGUAUUCGAUAAGCCAAUAAUACAGAAAUGCUCUAAGGACAAAAGACCAUUUUCUUAAAUUAAAUGGAAUGGCAUAAUUUUUUACAAGCGACUAGUAAGAAAACAGAAGGCAAACUUCUUUUUGGGAGAAAAAAAAAGAAAAAGACACCUACCACAUAACCUUAUCCAAACUAUGUGCCAAAAGGAUAAGCAGCCUUUUACAAAGAGGCAGCAGCAGAAAAAACUGAUAUCUGUACUAAAAAGUUUAGUGCUAUUAUACUAGUAAUAAGUGAUUCUUAUGUCUUCGGUGAGAAAGUAUACCCAGUUUUAGCCAACCUUAAAAACAAUAAAUAGCAAUCUCCUACUAUAUCUCCAUGCUAUGAAAGCCACAAUGGGAACUCAAAGAAAAGCAUGGAAGAAUUUUGGAGUGGAAACAAAAUAUAGAUCUUAAAAGUGAAAUAAAACAAAUUCAGAAUAGACGAUCAUAAGGAUUUUAGAACUGAUAGGUGGUACUUGCACAUCUCCUGCCACAAACUAUGUUGCAAGGUUAUGACAGCUGUAAGAAGAAAAGCCCGUUCAUCAUCUGGCCAACAGAAUUUUUUGCAACAGAAAGAUUAUAAGUUACAAAACUGAAUAGGAAAACUAAUAAAGCAUAAGCUGGUAAUAGCUCAAACUGAAAUUUUCGUUUAUCAAAUUGCAUGUAACCCAUGCAUGCCAACUGAGAAAGUCUUAGAUUAUCUUUCAAAUCAUCUUCUUUCUUCCUUUCUUUAACCCAUAUUCUUCAUAGUUCUAUGGUAUGGAAUCUGCUUUUCAUGUAUAACGGGUAACAAAGUGUUCUCCUCGUCACAACAUCAGUAAUAGCAUCAGAUAAAACAGAAAGAUCGGGCAAACAAGACAAUUAGUAUAAAACAUCCACUCCCACUAUUUUGUUAAGAGUAUAUUUUGACACUAAAGUUAGCAUAUCUAAAUACUCAUAGCCAGAUAGAGAGGUCAAAUCUUAUAUUCCAGUUCAUGUAUAUAGAAAAUAAAAUGCCCAAUCACUCCAAGCAGCUGUUGUUCAUCAUAAAGCUUUUUAAGCACUAAGCAGUGAUGGAAGCCAAGUCAGGGAUUUAAUUGAGCAUACUGCGAUGUCAUCUACAGCAAUUCAUGGCAUACUCAAAAAUGUCAGUGGCUGUUAGAUCGUGGAUUGAAAUGCAUGUUUUUAGAUACAAUCCUCUCAAAAGAAGAAUAAAAAAAAGAACAAUUCACAUAUACAGAUUAUGGCACUAGAAUACUAGAUCAUAUACCAAAAAGUCUAGAAAGGCAAAAGCAGUCGGGCAAAAUUACAUUCUUCAUAACACAAUUAGAUUUAGUCUGAAUCAUUGCCUAAAGCCUGGCAGACAGAACCUCUUCUGUUGCGUACCUCCAAGAGAUCCAUUUGCAGAUGCCUACAGAACCUGUCUUGUCUUGUAAAGAGCCAAAAGUAUGAUAGACAAGAAUAUGGACUUAUAUCUGUAAAAGAUAAUGAUCUAGCUACAAGAAUAAUCUGAGUAACAUUUUCAGAACCUUUUCAAAACUGCAGCAUUUUUUAUUCAAAAUCACCACUUCGAGAAAAGUGGAAAUGCUUUCUAUUGAUAUACGUUAAUAACACUGUCCAGAACCUCUUUAACAUUACCCAAUAACUUUUCUAUAACUGGAAUUGAAUACCAACAAGCCACAAUGGAAAGAAGAGUGAAUUCAAGCGAGAAGCAAACAAACUCUACAGAGUGAAAACAAAAUGGAAUUAUACAACAGAAAUCCUUAUUUCUUAGACAUCAUUUAAAUUCUAAAAGUGACUAAAUAUGGAAAACCUUGCAGCUCUGUUCAAUAAUCUCAAAAAAACUUUACAUAAUUAAGAGAUGUCACCACUCAACUGAGAUUAGUUGUCAUAACAGUAACCCAUUCAUGGUCCUCAGACACCAGGAGCACAUGGUAUCUGAGAAUAUGGAAAACCUUGCAGCUCUUUCUAUCAUUUUCACGGACCAAUGAAUGAUCAUUAAGAUGGAUACCUCUGCCAAGAAUAUCAGAUGAAAGUAAAUUUACUCCAAACCGCAUGCAGAACUUCCAGAGACCAGCUCAACCAGCUCUCUAUGCAAAACCAACCAAAGAUAGUUGGCAUGCAUUAGAGCUACCACAUCGCUGCAAAAGCGAUCAAGUCUUCAGAAAUCCAGCCACCAUCUGAGUGCUCAUCCUAAAUACUAUGCUAGAAGGAAUCACAGAAUAUUCAGUCACCAAAAGAAUUCACAUCUUUAGAUCACCCUCGGUUUCAGCAAAGGUAUAGCAGUCUGAAGGCAUGAAGGAUGACGAGAAGACAACUUGUCUGGCCCAAAAUUGUGAAAUAAGCCUUUGGUAAAACAGUCAUCCCAGCUUUGAAUAAAAUGUAAGGAAUCUUAAAACGGUAAUGACUAACUCACCAUCUCCAUUACAGGCAUCGCCACAACUUACUAGGUUAACCCUGGAUCAAGUCAUCAAGGCUCUGUGGCAUGAACACCAAACACUUUGCACUAAACUCAGAGAAGCUAAUUCUAAGGAUCCAGAAUGAUUGCAAAUUCAUGCUUUGAUGUGGAAAUCGCAAUAGACGACUCCAAGGAAACAUGACCUCUGUUUCAAGAAGCAUCAUGGUGUCUGUUGCUAUAUUUGGCUCAAUAUAGACAAGACUGAUAUGAUGAACUUAUUUUACACAUCCACAUGUGAGGCUUACGUCAUAGAGCCUCAAACUGCUGCUGCUCACACAAUGAUUUUGAUGGAAAACUCAAGAUCUCAAAUCCUUGUCUAUAUGGUACAAUAAGGCCAACAAAAUGCCUGCAACACCAUUUAGAUUCAGUUGAAGACUGUCAAAAAAAUGCCAUCAAAAUAACCUACCCUUUAAUAGAGGUUAACCUAUGAAUGAUUAUUGUCUAUAUAAGCCCUCUUGAAACAAAUUGCUCGUCUGAUUUUUCCAACAGAGAAAAAGACAGAAUUUAGGGCUGGAAAAAUCUUAAACUAGAACCUUUUGGUAGUUGAUAGAUGAUGCAACGGCAAAAGGUCCCCAAUAGCUGCUAAAGAUUUUUAUGCCCAAGAAAAAUUAAACCUAUUGUAAAGCAGUAUAAAAUGGUAAACUAUGACGGCAUAAAUUUUAGAGCAGCCUAAGAUGAGAAAAGAAACUUAUCUGAUGAUCUAACUAUAGGAUAGGAAGAUACAAAGGCCAAGUUAAACCAACUACCUCACCUGUGACCAUGAAUUAUGUCACAUAAGUAUUAAAUGUCUCCAAUUUUCCAAGUUGACCAAUUUUGUGAUAUAGCCUAUCAUGAAGGCUUUCCAGCAGUUAGCGUGAAAGCAACAUACACAUUAAUCACCUAUAAAUAUACAUGUUAGUCAACAAAAACUAAUCUUUGAAGGUAGUGACAUGUAUGAAAAUACUAACAAAUCUAAGGGUCUCUGAGAAGCACCAAAAGUGAUCAACUGAAGCAGCAAUGAAAUCUGUAACAACCCGGUGUAGGAACAUCUGGAGCCAUUGAACCGACACUUCUUAACCAUAUUAAGAGAAACAUUGUUACUUCAAGCAACCAUAUAUUUUGUUUAUAAGUGACUCCAAAUAAAUAUUCUAAUAAAAAAGUAAUAUAAAAGGAGAAAAACAAAUUAAUGAAUGAUAUGAUAAACCCAUCUUAAAAAAAGUUUUGCAAUAUUCCACCAGCAAAGUCACUUGAAAGAAAAAAAAGAUAAAUGGAGCUCAGAGAUCAUUAAGGCCUGGUUGGGGAAAAAGAUUGUUAAGGUUUGUAUUGUCAAUUAUUCGCCACUUAAUUAAUGCUUUGCACAGGAGUACAUGCCUGAGAUAUGAGUUGGCACUGUUUUGGUAAAAGAAAAUAUAUUUAAUGGAAAAGUCAUACUUACAUGUUUUCAAUAUUUUCACUGAAAUAAGGAUUUUCAACAAAAUCUUCAGACAACCUCACUUUUCUGAUAGCCUAAAGUAGUUUGAAACCUUGGUUGUUGUUUUGUCCAGAAGUAGACAUAUUUGAUAAUGGAGAGGUGAGUUGGCUCAGUCUUGGCUAGAAGGAAUUAAUGGACACAGCUAUAAAUAUUUUGUUGAUGGCUUGCGAACAACCAGAAAUACAACGAAAAAGAUCCUCAAUUUCCCAUUUUUUUAUCUUCAGUGCUUCAAAGGUCAUUGACACGGUCACAAUAUCAUCUGAAUUAUUAGUGUAACAUAUAGUUCAUGGCAGAUUUAUUUUCGUAUUUAAUAUCUGUACUAUUUAAAUACUAUGUAUCAAUAUAGCCCAUAAUUCUUUUUCUUUUUUCAGCCCAUAUGACAUUUAUCAUCUUUCAUUUUGUUACCAAAAGAUUCAUGGAACUUUUAUAUGUGGUUUCUCUCCAAGCAUAACCCUACCACUGAAAAUUGAAUAACAAGAAGCUGAUUACAAGAUUCCAAGAUAUCACGUCAACAAGGGGUGAUAUUUAAAGACCAUGACAGUCUGUCAAGAUUAACAAAAUGUGUCUAAGUAGCUUCUGUCAAAAAGCUCGAAGUGUUUGAAGUGAUCCAAUCAGAAGGAUUAGAUGCUUUAGGGUAACAAACAUCAAAGUAACACAGAGUUAAAAAAAGGAGUAACGACAAUUAGACAUCGUGCUUUUGCAAUUUCUGGUAAGAUUUAAAGGGGAAAACAUGGCUCUCACUGAAUAUAAGAACAUAUUUCAAUGUAAUGCCAGAAGUGAUCUGACAUUCAUAAGCCAAUAUGCAUGUACUUGAGACAAUGGGAGUAAUGCCCCCUAUAAGAAUACUUGUCAUGAGAGUGAAAAUUUUCUUCUGAUGAUAGGCCCAAACCAAGGGCAAGCUUAAGCCCUCCUCUCCUACACAUACACAAUUGAACCUUUGGUUGGCACAAAUGGGUGUGUAUUGUGUAACUCACAGAGGAUGGUACAUCAUUCAAUAAGACAAACAUGAGUACAAGUAGAUAGAAAAUGGUACUUUUGUAGUUUCUGCAAGAAAAGGCAAAAGGUAAUAUAACUAUAGCGUGUGAAAAGUAAGUCUAGUAGAAGACAACUGCAACAAGGCAUCCAUGAGUUGAUGGCUAGCAGAUCUCCUGGAAUCAAGAACCUUGUGUUGCAUACAUCAAACAGAAUAAUAAAAGACAGACAAAUGCAUAAACAGUGUGAUUGGAUGAAAUGGAGAUGUGUUUGUAGAAAGUAAAACAAUUGUUUCAGGCAAGUGAAAUGAAUAUAAAGCAAAAAAAAUGCUAAUAUAGAUGAUGAUGGAAAGCCAAAUGAAAUGGCAUGUGCAACAAAAAUUAAGCGAUGUUCUGGCCAGGAGAAAGCAAAAAAAUUUGCAGAAUGCAAGUCACUAGAGAAUAAGAGAAGAUUAAGUAGGUAGAAAAGCUUGAGAUGAAGCAAGAAGAAAGCUAGUCUUCUAUUUUUUGCCAGCUAUGAUUUUAUCACACAUCAUCCUCCUGCCAGAAUAUGUGAAGACCAAGUCCAAGCUGUUGGCUCAAUGAAAGGAACGAAGAAACUGAAAAUGAAAGAUGAGCCUUGAAAUGAGAAGUUCUUCCACUGGAUUACCACGCCAUUAUUAGAAAUAAGAAUAUUAAUUGGACAUGCAAUCCAAGACCGUGAGGCAUGCUAAAAAUGAAGCAUCAUGGAAUACUGCUCCUAUAAAAAAAAUUGCAACAGAAAAGAAAUGGCUACUCAAUUUAGGAAUGACUACAGAUGCAGGUGUACAUCCAGUUUUAAAAUGUUGAACUACUCUAGAUAUGAUGAAACUAUGACUAUAGAAGUGCAGUCAAUGUCGAACCAGAGACUGCAAUGUUCUUGUCACCCUAAAUAAAGAACUGAAAAGGACAUUAGCACAUGCUUUGCUCCACAGCUAGUGGAAUUCAACAACAAUGCGGGCAAGUGACUAGAAUAUUACAUCUGCAAAUUGGUAAGCACAGUUCAAAGGAGGUCAUAGUCAGGAUGGCUAAGCAUGACCAGUGGCUCAGUCAGCAGACAUGCAUAAGAAAUUAAUAUUAUAUUUCAUCCUUCCUUGUUAAGGAGACAUUAAAGACCUUCAGAAGCAUCUCAUCCGACCUAACUUAGAGACUUGAAAUAAAUAUUAGAUUAAAAUCACAUGAGCACUCAUUCCUGCAAACUUAGACCACAAAAUAGUCCUUGAUUUAUAUAGUACCUGCAAACAAGAAAAUCAUUAAAAUAAAACCUUAUUGCAUAGGGUAUUGGGGAACCAAUCAAACUUCACAAGAUAGGCAUGGCAACAACCCUAUAACAAGUGGAAAUUCAUCAAGGUGCACGAUGACUCAACCACAAAAUCUAAAGAGCAAUGAUGUUAUCGAUAACGAACCAACCCUCACAAUGAUAGAUGUCCACUGGAAAAAAUGGUAAAAGGGAAAUAUGUGCAAUAUUUUAAACAAAUAAAUUAAAAAACAUCCAUUUCUACUUUUCCCCCCUUUUUUUCUAAAGCCACAUUCUCUCCUUCCAACUUGGCCCUUAAAAAACAAAAAAGCCUUUUAAUCUCCUUACCCAAUCAAACCGCUAAAGAUAAGCGAAAAAAAUAACAGUUCCCUCCUCACUAUUGCAAAAUUGACCCCAAAAAGGAUCUAAACAAUGUUUAUAGAUCUCGUAUUAGAUCUAGGUUCAAUAAUUAUAAAUGAUUUGGGCUUUAUUUUAAGUUAAUCGUUUGUUUAUUUUAUUGCCUUAGGACUCUUUUUUAAAGUUUUCUAGAGUAGGUUACUCGAGUCAUAUUCUAGAAAAAUUCAAAUUAAUUUUUAGGGCAAUUUCUUAAGUUUCAUUUUAAGUAGAAUAUUUGUCUAAACAUCCUGCUUUAAAAUCUAGGUUGUAUUUUUUAAAAAAAAAUAUUUGGAGUCACCGUAAUUAACAUUCUGAAGUGAUUCAAAUGACUUUUCCUGGAGUUUUUCAAUAAAAAGACAAAUUUUAUUAUUUUGUGAAGUCUAGUCAUUUCUCAUUUCAAUAAAAAGUGAUUUUAUUAUUUGCAGCCAUUACGGAGGUCAAUUAGGAGUUUUCAUUUGAGACAAAUUUAUAAAAAUUAAAAUGUAUUGAUAAUCGGGAGUUAUUUUAGGAUUAAAUGACAUUACUUUGCAAUUUUUUAGCAUCUAAAAAUAGGGUCAAGAAAAAGUGAUUUAGAAGUUAAAUAAAUUAGUUCCUUUAUGCAGGAUUUCUCUUAAUAAUUGUCUUUCUGCAGUCUCAAAUUCCUUUCCCUUUAUUCUGCCCUUGAACCAUCUCUCUUGCCUUAGAUACCUCUUUUAUUUGAUACUGUUUGUUCUUCAUCAAGAAAAUUUAUUUUAGCAUGUUACAAAAUUCCCUCACAGCUCAAACACUAAGAGCCUGCAUCACUAACACUUUUUCUUUCCACAUUGAAGGAACUCCACUCUGCAAACUGGCCAAACAAAGAUUUGGAUCUUAGAAGGGUCUUCUUGUAUUUUAAAAAAUAAAUGAUCACAUCCAUCAAAAAAUCAGUGAACUUCACUUACAAGUUCUCUACUCAAAAGUGACCGUGACAGUCUCCUCCUUCACAAAAAUCACUCCUAUUCAGCAUGUGCAGCCUUUGAUUCUUAACCUUAAGUUGGCAUGUGAAAAUAUUACCCCCUAUGAUGACUGACCAAGCAACAAUCUGGAUCUUAAAAAUCCUUCACCAACAAUCAAUAUCUUUGAAGAAGAGAUACAGCAAGACUUCAUUUAGAAUGGAAGGAUGCCCAAACACCGACCAACCUUAGCCAUAGAGAUUAUUUUCACUUAACCAAGUGAUAAAUGCAGAAACUUUAGAUAUAAAAAGUAAAUCCAUUGAAAAUAUUAGAAGACACAAAGUAGCCUAGAGUAAUCUACACUAGGUUCUAAUCUCUUGCACUAUUUUCUUUUUUACCUACCAAUAGGCAUCACAAAUAUCUCCAACGCGAAGAAUAAAUAUCCACUCCUAAUAAUGAUGACGAUGAUGAUAACAAUAACAAUAAUAAUAAUAAUAAUAUGAUGAUGAUGACAACGACAUACUAGAUGAUCAGAAAACUUAAAUUUCAUGGCUCCUAAACUUGUUAAUAGAAUAAUGUACAGUGAUCAUAAAGAAUUCCAAUUUUAGAAACAAAUUAUAUAAUACAAAAUAAUAUAAUACAUCAUCGUUUGAGGGGAAAUUUGCAUUUAAGUAAUAGUGUAAAGAAGCCAAAAACUAUGUGAGAGGUUGGGAGAAGACAACCCCUUCUCCUAGGUUUUGCACUUGAGCAUACCCGUCACCUCUCAAGUGUUCUGAUGCACAACAAUCGGUUUGUCAUGUUCUCAUAUUCCCUAGCGGACUGAUUACAAUUAUAGGCACUAUUGAGAGAGUCAUUUAUCUUUCCACAUGUGGUGGAAGGACAGAUUCAACAUUUGGCAUAUCUUCAAGUUGAGUAAGCAUAAUAAACCCCAAAGUCUGAGUAUCCAUAAAUCAGCAUGUUCGAGAAGUGCUCGGCCUAAAGAUGCUCAAGUUAACACGUGAAUUGAUUCGAAUCAAAAUUGUCCAUCCUGCGUCACAGUAGAUUGAUUUAGCCAGAUUGUCCUACUUAAGUAGCUCAUUAUUUAUUGCAAGAUUUGCUGUAUGGGUCUGUAUUAGUGCAUCCAACUAUAUCAUACCAUAACAGUAUCGAACCGGCAUACAGUACAGAGGGCAUACUGACACUCACUAUGCCAAACCAGCCCCUAUGCCAAGCAUACCAACACUAUAAUAGGAUGGUACUAGUGCCAUCUCAAUUUAUUGUAUGUAAAGUAAUCUAAAAAAGCUUAGAACUAAAGCAUCUUUUGACUUAUUAACAUUUCAUUUACCCUAAAUACUACUAGUAAUCAUUAAAUGUUAUCUCUAGCAGGGUAAAUUUAAGUCUACUAAAAUCAUCAUUGGUGAUCAUACCAUAUAACUAUUAAGGAACUUUCUCAGCCAUAGCAAUUAUUGCAAUAAAAUUGCAAUUUUUGUGAGACCCAAGCAACAACUUUUACCAUUUUCUCCAAACACCUCGGAUCACAAAUUAUAUGCUGAUAGUAAAAUAUAUAGAAAUGAGAAAAUAGAAUAAACAUGCUAUGUUAUUUUUAAAAAAUCAAGAAAUUUAAAAUAAUUCUAGGCAAUUAUAUGCACUUCAUAUCUAAACACAUAAAUAAAUACAAAAUUCCAUAUAAAUAUCAUUGAUACCUCCCAAUUGCUGCAGUGAUUAUGUCUUCAUAUAAGAAAUUUCAGAAGAAAAAAAAUCAAUUGCAACUCGAAACUUUUCUACAGAUUAGGUGUCUUUUGCUUUGUUUUUUCCUUUUUUGCAGAGUAUGUCUGUCUCCAAGUCAGCAAGCUUUCAGUUCAUAAACCUAAAUUUAAAGUGCUUGGCUGUACUUAAAAAUUUGCCCAUUAGGGUAACUAUAUAACCAUUAAUGAUGCACAAAUAUGGCUUCGUUCAUCCAUUUCUACAUCACUUGUCUAAUCAAGGCAAAUCAUGCCUACCCCAUCCUGUAUCUUUGCUUUGACUAUGUUCCAUCUCAACAAAAUUCAAGCAACUACUAACUGGAAUUAAGAGCUAAUGUAAAAUUCAACAGCAGCAACAACAAUAGGGAGUUAAAAAAUCCAAAUUUACCAUACCAUUUAGAGACUUAAAGUUUCUAAUUCCAGUUCAACAACUUACAGCAUCAUGCUUCUCUGAAAGUUCAAUGACACCAAAGUCUUGUGUAUGGAAAAUUGAAGAACUUCAGACUUAUAAAGUAACUAAUAGAAACUAAAGAUUUUAUUAACAAAAUUGACAAAAAUGAAACUGCUCCUCAGGAUACAUAAAUCUUCAUAGAGCAGGAACUUUUUAAAAAUGUAGAAACCAGUGCUUGAGAUUGCAAUUUGAAGAAAACAAGAUCAAUCAACCAGAGUCACUCUCCUAUUAAUUUUAAAGAAUCAUAAAAUUAGCAUCAAAGAAAUACAUGUAGGUAGUGAACAACAUGCAUGGAUAAAGAUAGUGCUUGAAUCAUGUUCACUAAGUUAUAAAGCUCAGCCAACUUCACAUAGUGUGGAUAAAUCUCACUAUUAAUCAUACUGAGGGUGAAUACCAAUUGAUGUGAUAGUCUUUGCUGGGGAAGUUCACCUUAAGGGAGAAGAAUUCAUAGAUGGAAUAAGGGAUUGCAAAGUUGAUGUUAGAUAAGAUACUAUAUGAUAUGUGAUCAAACAGCAUGAAAUUUUAUGCUGCCUCCUGAACUAGCCAUUAAGGAUCCCUAUAGCAACAAGCAUCAGUUGUUUUUAAAAAAGAGUACUGGCAAUUUCAAAACUUUUCUAGUCCAACAACCAUCAGAAUGUCAUCACAUAACAUAAUACCUAACCAGGAAAAUCUUGGAAGAAAUACCGUCAAAAGUUUACUGCAGAAAUAAGAAGCAAACAGUAUACAAAGUGCUAUUCUGACAUUAAAAGGCCCGAAAAUAUAAUCCCUUAAAUAGAAUCUGCAACCCAAACAGAACUAGAGAGCAUUUAAUGCCUCUGGAACCCCUGAAGAACACCUAAUCUGGAAAAUCUUGGAGCUACUAACAGCAAAACUUAAAUGCAGAAGCCUGAGAUAAACAGCAUUGAAGGGUCCGGAAUCUUAUCAGUUGUUUAGAAACGCAAACCGAUUUCGCAUAGAAAAGCAGAUAACUGCCCAGCCUAAAUACUUGGGUUUUUCCUGCCAAAGAAGGGAACAUAAACAGAACUGCACAAACCAUGAAAAGACUAAAAAUCAUCCCCUUUUUCUUGUACAGAAAAAGAAUGACACCAUCCCUGCUACGAAUCUCAGGCAUAAUUACUUCACAAUAUCAUCAUCCAAGUUCAGAAUAAAGAAAAAUCACCACACAAACACAGAAAAUAUCCAACAAAACAUAGUUUCGUAAUAUACAGUCCGAUCUGACGAAUAUCUAACACAGACAAAUAAAGAAAAGAGGAAAAAAAGAUUAGCAAGAUAUAAUCAAGAUUACUGGAGAAAAGAACCAAGAAAUCCAAACAAAAAUACAUUUUCAAUUAAAAACUCAAAACAGAUUAUUAUACAUUAGAAAGAAAGCAUAAUAGCAACGAUCUAGACAUCAAAAGAACGAAAUUCCCUAACAAACAACAAAAAUUUGUGGAUUGAAGGAAAAUUCCACGGGCGGAUCAAGACGGAAGGCUGCGUCAUACCUUCCGAUCGUAUCCACCGAUCAAGAUCGCGAUUCCGAGUUCCUUUCUCCCAAGGGAACGAAUCCGAGAGGCAAUCCCCCUUAAUCCGACGCUUUGCCUAGGGUUUGCUGGAGGGGCGAGAUUUGGGGAUUUCGACGGUCACGCCACCGAAGAAAGCGGAAGCCAGACAAGGAGGAGAAACCACAGGAGAACUACGGAGACAAGGAACCGCCCUUUAAUACUAAAAAAAAAUACCACCCUUCCACCCGGCCACCAUCCACGACCCUUCCUCCCCUGGUAUUUAUAGUGGAGGCGAGCCGAGGUCAGGAUUGGUUUAAAAAUAAGGAGAAAAUAAAUCUAAAAUAAAGGAAUAAGGUUUUAUUUCUGUUCGUGGGCACAGGGGCCCACCAAUUAUGGGGCACGCGGAGCCACGUGGCAGGCAGGCUUGGCCGCGGUCCAGUGUUCCGCCGGUUCUAUCCAUACCGUGGGCCUCCAGCUGGCCCUUCUUUAACCCGUCACCUGCGAAGAAGGGCGUACAGGUACAUCAGGGGGUGGGUCCCACCUUGGUGGAUGUCACCAUGGUGACACCGGCGAGAUGAAUUUGAUGGACGAUGAGUAAUUAAAGACCCACAUAAAAGUUUCCGCACGCCCAACUUAAUUAAAUCCAUAUCAAACCUUGGAAUUACCUUUAAGUCCUAAUAAAUUUUUUAAAUAUGUCCAAUUACACAGCUUAUGUCCAAGUACAUAAAUUCUAAACCUGACAUUUAUGGGACUCUUUUUAUAUUUCUUUGAAUUUUCGUUAAGCUGUUUCUAAAUCUUUUACUAUUUAUCUAUUACAUUAAAAUUAAUUAUUGGUUUUUUUGAAUAGGAGCUAUAACAUCUAACCUAAGCAGCAGCAUAAUUGCUCAGACAUUAUACAAUAUUUUGACCGAUCCUGAGCACUACAACCGCCUUCUUGAAUCUUAUUCCUAUACAUUGCGAUAAAAAUGUAACAUGAUAAUUAUAUGACAAUAGGCAAUUUAUCCAUCUGCCAAUGCAUCGGUUUUCAUUAGACACCAAGAGUUCGGCUCGGAACAAAAACUACCAAAAUCUAUUUAUAUGACACAUUUUUCUCCAACAUUAGGUAGGAGAUUGUCCCACGUUUCUGGCAAUAUGGGGAAAAGGAAAAGUAGCUCGUGACCAUAGAAUUUUUUUGCUAAGUUUGAAUGUAGUUAUUACUUUUUUGUGGUGGUUUAUAAUUUUAUGUAUAAAAUUUUCUCAAAAUUAUACCAUUGUAUGUAUUAACCGGUGGCCAAUAAUAAUGAAAGCAUGAGAAAUGGCCCAGGAGCACUUACAAUUAGGAUUAGAUUAUUAAGCCAUGACUACGAACUUGGCUAGUCCCCACAACACUCAUGACCACAGCAAUGAUAAUUUAUUCCAAGUAUAAAAUUCGCAAGGACGUGGUAAAGUGUUAAGAGGAAAUUGAGUAUCUCCGUAAAUCUUUGCAUUCGAGAUGUGAAACAAAUUGCUGCAUCACAUAUAAACUAAGAAUUACAGAAAUCUUAUAGUAAAAGGUUAGCUAGAAACGGAGAGGAGACAAGUUAGCUGAUGUUUACCGAGAAAAAUAAAGGUUAGCUGCCGUGCACGAUGCUUCUCCCCUUGCUUGGCUGACACUGUGCAGGUUCCAGGAGCAAUACGGAAGCUAUGCAUCAAAUUUUUUAAUCCUCUUUUCUGUGAGAAACAAAUAGAGGAAUCCAUCUUUAUUUUGUGCGUAGGGAUAUCCAAACACCAAUCAAUUACUCGUCUAACUUUUGGUGAAAAAAAGAGCCAUCAUAAGCAAUGAAAAGAACCAUAGCUCGAGUCCAUACCAGAGUCCAAGAAAAAGUUGGCUCACCCAAAAAAAAAAAAAAACUAAAGAAAAAAGGUCUUAAUGUCUUAAUAGUAAAAUGCCAUAGGAAGCCACCUGUUACAUUGAACAUCCCCUGGAACCUGAAAAGGAGAGAAGGCGAGCUAGCUGCGGUGUAUACUCCACUUCAAACGAAAAGUAUAAUCCAAGGCGUUAUUGACUUCUUAAACUUGGUCAUUCAGCAAACCAAACAAAGAGCAGCAAGAAACACGUUCAAUUUGAGGAAGGUGCGAUGCUUUUGCGCGGUCAGUUUGCUCCUGCUAUGAAACUUUGACUGUGCAAUCGCACCUUCCUCGAAUUGAAUGCGGACGCCCGUGGGCUAACAGAGGACAAGGGGCACUCAUCGCCCCCAGCGAAGCCAGCCCGUGCCUCCUCCUAUGAAACUUGAACUGCCUUAAACCACACCACGUGAAUUACACACAAUAAAUUCUAGGAACAUAAACCAGCAAUUUCUGAUGAUAGAACUAAUAAAGCUAGAGGCCUGGGGGAUCCCAUUCCUCCAACAAAUAGACAAUUUAUGAUACGUUGGACUUUCGAAAGCUCCGAUGGCAUGCAUGUGAGAUUAGGCCUAGAAUGGGCAAUAUUGGAUUGAAGUCGACGGGCCCAACCGACUUCGGUACAAUGCUAAAGGAAGAACCAGAAUAGAGGAUCACAAUAGCGAUUCUUUGCUCCUUCCUCGAAGAGAUAAGUCCAUGGAUGAACCUCGACUCCGUGGGGAGUUUGAACGGCCGCCAGCUGUUCGAUCGAGCCCAUCCGCCGCAAGAAUCGUGGCGGAGCAAUGGCCCCUCACCUUAUCCCUUUGGAGGUGUCCCCUAUAAAUUCUCUCACCUCUCGGCGAUUAUCCUCCACCUUCGAGCUUCGCCGAGCCUUUUCCUCCCUCUCCUCCCUCCUUCUUCUCCUUCUCCGGUGACCGGCAUGCCACCCCAACCAAGCACCACCGCCUAAAGCUCCCUUUUCUUCCUUUUUUGUUCAAGUGCUCUGUUUUCUUUGUUCCGAGACUCCUCCCUGUUUCAAGCACCGCCGCCACUAGUCGCCACCGGUUGAGCAAUCCGCAGCCAAGAUCGUCCAUCUCCGCCACUCGCCGGUACCAAAGAUGUUCUUAGUUUUUCCCUCCUCGCCCUUGCUGUUGACGGUUGGCCGUCGACCACCCAAUUUUGGCCGCCGCAACCCUUCCCCGAUCUCUUCCCUCUCCUCUUUCCUCUCUUCCUUCCCGACUUCUUCCUCUUCUUAGUUCUUAUUUCUUCCCAUACUUAAUUUUUUGUAUUUAUUUAUUAAUCCCUAUACAUAUAUGGCUUUCAUUGUUCCUCCCUCGUUGCUAAUCUCUCCCUUGCCUAUGGGCCAAAUGUUGUGAUGAUUUAUGACUCUAUGACGGACCAAACCCAGACCCCUGUCCGACCCUAAACUAAGGCUCUCUCCUCGCCAUCUUUCUCUCUCUUCACAGGCUCAAGAAUCCUAGUGUAAGCCUUAUUUUUCUUAUUGGUCGGAUCCAAAUUGACCCAAUUUGGAGAUCUUGAACUGCCCCGGUAUCUAGGCAGUAGACCGGCCCAUUACUAAAUUCCCAGCUAAAUCUUUUGAAAUUCGGUCAUUUUUAAUCUUUACCUGACUAAUUAAAUUCUCUUUGCUCGGACCGACCUGGGCAGUCGGGCACUGUCACCUGAUCGACCUGAUUUAGAGGCAUGAGGCCGUUCUCUAAUAGUGUUUAAUUUUGACUUCAAUUGACUUAUAGAAUGAUAAUGAAAUCAUAUUAAAAUAAGUGCACUUGACCCGUCAAACUGAAGUAGGAUUUUUGAAGUGAGAAGAGGUAAGUAACCUAAUGCUUCAAUGAGUGUUUUUUGAAUUUUUGGUAAAAUAAUAAUUAGGUUAUUAAAUUUGAAUAUGAUAUAUGUUUUAUACUUAGUUAAACGGGUCAAGCAUGUUGAUGUUAUGAUAGUAAUUAUUUUAAAAUAUGUUAUGUUAGAUUUUGAAAUCUAAAAAAUAUGACUGAGCAAAAAAAAAUUGUAUAUAUAUUCAUUUUCUGCAUGGUUAUGAUUUGACCCCACCAAUGGAGAUUAUUCGUUAACCCUGUCAACUUGUAAUCUGUGAGAAACUAGUUUCGACACCACACCACCGGUGAUUAUAAUGGUGAUAUUUGGAUACUGUACCGCCGGUGGAUAAUAAUAGUGGUAUUUGGUACUUUGUGCAUUGACACAUACUAUUGGAUUACGUGGCCAUAGCCUAAUAUCUGGUUUCUGGUAUUUCUUUAUAAAAACAAUAGUAUACUUCAAAAGAAAAUAUGCAUUAUUCGAGAAAUGAUUUAUUUUCUAGUCAAUAUCUUGUGUUUUUAACUAAUUUUUUGGCAUGCUUUGACACCACUUUGGGAUAUUAUGUUGCUUACUAGGCUAGUGUAGCUUAUUAUUAUAUUUUUUUCUGUUUUUCAUUUCUAGAUGCAUAAUUGUUCAGGACUUGGAGCUGGUUCUUUUAAAAAUACUUUUGGUUAUUGGAGUUUUAGUCGGUUUAGUUAGAACAUUUUAUUUGAUUUAUGUUAGUAGUUAGCAUAUAUUAACUUAUGUCACUUUGGAAUUAUUGUAAGAAUCAUUUGGAUAAGUUCUUAAUUGAAUAAUUUUUCAGAAAUUAUUAUUACUUUGAUAUGAUCUGUAGCCCUAUACAUAUAUGCAGGAUCUAUUUUGCUCUGGGUUCGGGGCAUGAUAAUGCAAGAGCGAAAGUGAUAGAAAAAAACUGAGCAAGAGAAUAUCUGAGGCCUCAACAUAAUUCCAGGUCAAGAACAUGUUAAUUGGAGAAUAAUCAAGUGAAAAGAGAAGAUCUUAGGUCUCGACAUAAUUUCAAGUCAGGAACAUGUUAAUUGGAGAAGAAACGGCAUGUUGGCAAAUGUCUUUUGGAUAAGAAGAUUUGCUUACAGAAUUGACUGCCAAGGUUAACAUGGUUAAAAAGCAAUUUUAGGCAAAUCAGCUGCAUGGCAGAAAGGUGUAAUUAUCAGAAGGGAGAGAAAAAAAAAGGACUUUGAGAGUUGAAAUUGAAUGAAGUGGAUCCAAAGAACCUGAUCCUUAGCCUUUUCAGUGAAACAGAUUUGAGUUACCUUGCUGUUUAUAGGCUCAAAUUGGGACUAAUGAAAAUUUUAGCAAGGACCAUCUGCUUCUCCAUUUCAAUACUAUCAAAUAUUUUGAGUGCCAGAUGAUCAAAUCCCCAAAGAAGGCUUUGAUCAUCUUCUGUCAAACUAGUCUGUUUUUUAGCCCCUCCCUCUCCAUUAUUUUAUUCAAGAUCUGCACUUAUUCAUACUUGUUUUUCAAACUUGUGACAAGUUAACAAACUAUUCACCAAGAAAAUGUUAUUGACAAGAAAGAGCCCAAGCAUGACUGACCUUCAUCAGACUCGCUGAGUUCCUAUUAGAUGAAGGAAAGGAAAACAUACUAAGCGUAUUUGAAGCUCUAUUAUAAUUAUGCCAUGGGAAUGCACGCAUCAUACAGUAGAAAGGAUGCCAACAGGAAAAGGUCCGAAGAAUAUAUCGGUUUAACAGCAGACAAACAAAAUCCAGCAACAUGCCAUGUCGUGUUUUACCAUGGAAAACAAAAUAAAAGCAGGAGAGCAAGCAAACUAUACUUCAAUAACGAAGAUCACACAACGUUCAAGUCUCCAUUGAUUUUGGUCCCCCAUUCUUUUUAAAUCCUUUAAUCUCUAAUUUGAACCCUCUAAUUAUUUGGGUCCUAGUUCUCAGGGCCCCUUCUCGCUGCCUAAUACUAAGCAACAGAUCUUAGAAUAUAAAAUUUCCUUUUAAAUCAUACCUGAUGUUUUACAGGACAUACCAAAGGCACAACCCUGCUUCAUCUGCAUAGUAUUGGUGGAAUUCUCAUCAAUCUGUCCGUUCCAAUAUAAGAUAGAGUCAAGGUAAUUAAAUUGAUAGGUUAGAGAAUCUAUUGUGUGCCAAUUCUAACAACAUACUCAGAAAUACUGUUCAACUGAAGUUGCACUCCCUUUGGCCCAACACAGUUCUCCAAACUUUUAUUCUCUAGAUUUUUCUUCUACACCAUAAUACCCAACCUCCCUUAGUAUCAUAAACUAAAGCUUAAGCACCCGCAAAUUGGGAAAAAAGGAGCAAACUUUUGGAACGCUAGUAUCCACUGGCUUUCAAGGAAUGGAAUAUUACCAAGCACCCUCCACUAUUUCAGAUAGUAUUUAUGGUUCUACCUUUUUCUCUGGACACAACGGGAGGUGCAAUCCAUUUCGUGAAUUGGUAGGGGAGGCGGUACAAUGGAAUUUCAUUCAUUCAAUAUUGAUUCCCGUAGUUCGGGAGUUCAAGCCAGGCAAGGCACAAUAAGGGUUGGCGAACAUGGUAGGCACAUUACAAAUCAAUACACGAAGAGGUGCCGCCGUGAAGAUCUAGGAGUGUGAGCAGUACGAGCUGAAAGGCUCUCAUACUGUUUGGAUUUUUAGUACAAGUAGCUACAGGUUUUGCUAUGACUUUUGACUAUCGUCCAACCGUUACAGAAGCUUUUUCCUCUGUUCAAUACAUAAUGACUGAGGCCAAUUUUGGUUGGUUAAUUCGAUCAGUUCAUCGAUGGUCAGCAGGAAUCCACAAACCAUUCCGACCGACGAUCAGAAUUUCUUCGAAUAUGUCCUUGAAUUUAUUCGAGAUUUGAGCAAAACUUUCUUGUUCUAGUACCAAUAGGUGAUGAUUAGUGCACUAACCGACUCUUGAUUACCGUUUUUUGCUUACUCUUUUUUGGCCUGGAAGAGCGAACGAUCCACCUGGACAACUAAACUGAGACUCCGACUUCUUGGGCCCCCCACUGGAGAUGAGAUGACGGGGAGCCUUUGGAAACUGUCGUGACGCUUUGGUGACGAAGGUCACCNN